GCUGGGGCUUGCAAAUGUCUCGGCAGUGCCAGCCUUUAAUUAGCUGUACUUUGCCACCAGGGACCUGCCACUUUGCAGCUGAAAAUGACAUGUUGGAGUCACUGAGAACAAGAGCCAAGUGCAGCUACUGACGAGGGCUCAGGAGUCGGAAGGCCCGGGGUCACCUUGCGCAGAGCCAGGGAGGAUCAGCCUCGCCCAGGAGGGGCCAGGCCGGGCCAAGUUCACUAAUGACGAAUGCACAAAACAGGAUCCCAGAUCUGUAGGAGCCAUGUCCACUGUGUGGAGAUCCAUGUCCUAGAAUGUCAGUGGCCUGUGCUUGGGAACAGAGGCACACACAUGGGAUGCCCCACACUUCUGAUCAUCUGCAGAGGACAGCCACCAGCAGUCAAGAGUGGCAGCUGGCACCACCUCUGACCCUCCGUCCACUUGUGCUACUGGACCAGCUAAUCCGAGUUUGGAGACAGAUCAGCACAGCCCACCUGCCUUCAUGGGGUUUCUGGGUGUGGUUCUGAGAUGGUAUCUCAAAGUUCGACAUGCAUUUCCCUGGCAACCAGUGACGUUGAGCAUCUUGUCAUGAGCUUAUUGGCCGUCCAUGCG
rnacentral:lncRNA from 1 species